CGACGUCGACGACAUCUUCGACCCGCCCUACUAUGAGUAAAAUCUGGCGAUUUGGGUGAAGUACAAAGCCAAGUGUGAAGCUAUGAAGCGUAUCAACAAACAGUAGCAUAUGUAUUGUAAUAGUAGGCAGUAUUAGGUAUAUCUAGGUAGUGGUGUAGUGUAAAGAUUGUAAUAGACAAAUUUAAUGUUGGUUUGGACGAAUUUCAUUUGCUC